CAGGCCUAACACAUGCAAGUCGAGCGGUAACAUUUCUAGCAUGCUAGAAGAUGACGAGCGGCGGACGGGUGAGUAAUACUUAGGAAUCUACCUAGUAGUGGGGGAUAGCUCGGGGAAACUCGAAUUAAUACCGCAUACGUCCUACGGGAGAAAGGGGGCAACUUGUUGCUCUCGCUAUUAGAUGAGCCUAAGUCGGAUUAGCUAGAUGGUGGGGUAAAGGCCUACCAUGGCGACGAUCUGUAGCUGGUCUGAGAGGAUGAUCAGCCACACCGGGACUGAGACACGGUCCGGACUCCUACGGGAGGCUGCAGUGGGGAAUAUUGGACUAUGGGGGAAACCCUGAUCCUGCCCUGCCGCGUGUGUGAAGAAGGCCUUUUGGU
rnacentral:rRNA from 1 species